GGGAUCAUAGCUCAGCUGGGAGAGCAUCUGCCUUACAAGCAGAGGGUCAUAGGUUCGAGCCCUAUUG
rnacentral:tRNA from 1 species